AAGGGAWUCCCCCASWAGCGGCGAGCGAAAAGGGAUCAGCCCAAAGCCAAAUCCCGUGUCCUCUGGGCAUCGGGAAAUGUGGCGUAUGGGAGGCGGAACUUUCCGGGCGUUGAAGGCGACUCAAGUCCCCAUGAAUGGGGCUACGACCGAAGUGGGUGCGAGUCCCGUUCAGUCGCUCUUCUCGCACGGAGUCUCCGUUUUCCCGGGAGUCGGGUUGCUUGAAAGUGCAGCCCAAAGUGGGUGGUAUGCUCCACCUAAGGCUAAAUAUCCCCGAGAGACCGAUAGCAAAAAAGUACCGUGAGGGAAAGUUGAAAAGAACUUUGAAGAGAGAGUUCAAUAGUACGUGAAACCGCUUAGAGGGAAACGGGUGGGCCCUCGAAGUCUGAAGGCAGAGAGAUUCAGUACGGGCGCUAUCGAGUUUGGGCGGGAUUCCUUAGGCGCACACAAACGAGUCGGUGUCGCCUUAGGGUCCUAGAUCCUAKUCGCCCGUGCGCAAUUCUGUUCUGUCGGUAAGAGGCCGCGACUGGUUGGUCGACUGUUGGAAUUUUAGCUUUGGAGUAAGGUAGCCGACCGCGCCUCGCGUGCGGUAGGUGUUACAGCCYGARUGCGACGCCCAACGGUCGCGCCGACUCAGGACGAGAGAAACCUCGAUAAGCGUUCCCUUCGAGUGAAGUCGGGGAUUCAUGGUGAGGAAGGUUAACUGUUCGGACCCACCCACGUGGUGGCCCGCUUAGCGCCUUUUCGCCACUGAUCCCCCCGGCCAUGGGAGCUUGAGGUCGGCGGUCAGUAGAUCGGGUCCCACCCGACCCGUCU
rnacentral:rRNA from 1 species